rnacentral:rRNA from 1 species
CCUACGGGUGGCAGCAGUGGGGGAUAUUGCGCAAUGGGGGCAACCCUGAUGCAGCGACGCCGCGUGAACGAAGAAGGAUUUCGGAAUGUAAAGCUCUAUCAGCAGGGAAGAAGAAGUGACGGUAACUGAAUAAGUAAGACCGGCUAAAUACGUGCCAGCAGCCGCGGUAAUACGUAGGGUGCAAGCGUUAUCCGGAUUUAAUGGGUGUAAAGGGAGCGAAGGCGGGCCGGCAAGUCUGAUGUGAAAGCCCGCGGCCCAACCGCGGGACUGCAUUGGGAACUACCGGGCUGGAGUGUCGGAGAGGUAGGCGGAAUUCCUAGUGUAGCGGUGAAAUGCGUAGAUAUUAGGAGGAACACCAGUGGCGAAGGCGGCUUGCUGGGCUUUUACUGACGCUGAGGCUCGAAAGUGUGGGGAGCAAACAGGAUUAGAUACCCUUGUAGUC